ensembl:miRNA
UCAGUGAUCAGUGCCUGGUGGGCAUGCAUGCACUUCCCAUGCACCACCCGUGGUCACUCCU